rnacentral:tRNA from 2 species
GCCGGAGUAGCUCAGUUGGUAGAGCAGAGGACUGAAAAUCCUCGUGUCAC